GACGAACGCUGGCGGCAUGCCUAACACAUGCAAGUCGAACGAGAUCUUCGGGUCUAGUGGCGCACGGGUGCGUAACGCGUGGGAAUCUGCCCUUUGGUUCGGAAUAACAGAUGGAAACGACUGCUAAUACCGGAUGAUGACGAAAGUCCAAAGAUUUAUCGCCAGAGGAUGAGCCCGCAUAGGAUUAGCUAGUUGGUGUGGUAAAGGCGCACCAAGGCGACGAUCCUUAGCUGGUCUGAGAGGAUGAUCAGCCACACUGGGACUGAGACACGGCCCAGACUCCUACGGGAGGCAGCAGUGGGGAAUAUUGGACAAUGGGCGAAAGCCUGAUCCAGCAAUGCCGCGUGAGUGAUGAAGGCCUUAGGGUUGUAAAGCUCUUUUACCCGGGAUGAUAAUGACAGUACCGGGAGAAUAAGCUCCGGCUAACUCCGUGCCAGCCGCCGCGGUAA
rnacentral:rRNA from 1 species